GCCACUGGCAUGCCAGCUUGGGCAACAGAGCAAGACCCUGUCUCUAAAAAUUAACCAAGUAAAAGAUCAUGCGGGUAGCAGUGGGUGUGGUGAGAAGUAUCAGGCAAUUGAAGCACAGAGUGGUAAUCUAAGAUAGGAGAACACAGGUGGAACAGGUUUUGGUGAGAAGGAGGAGCACAGGUGGAACAGCUUUUGGGGAGACAAUCAGCAGUUUUAUUUGGGAUAUGUGAAGUUUUUGGUGUCUGGUAGACCUCCUGGUGGAGAAGCUGUGUAGCAGGGGCCCAUAUAAGCCUGGAGUUCAGGAGAAAGCCUGGGCUGGAGGUACACGUUGGGGAGUUGCUGACAGGUAGGUUUAUUUAAAAAACGAAGUCAAAUGAAAUCACUGAGGGAGUGAGGGUAGGGAGAAAGAGAACCAAAUAUUGAGGGUGGAGGCACUCUCACUUAAGAAGAUGGGGAGAACAGGAGGAACCUGCAAAGGAGAAUGAAAAGGAGUGGAGUCAGGUGUCUCGGCAGCCAAAGGAGGAAGUGGUCGCCUCUGACAGACUGUGCCGACAGGCCAAGUAAGGCACAGCUAAAGAAAUGUGUUACUGACAAGCCUGCAGGCCACAUGGCGAGAUGGAAAGCAAGCAGUAAAGACCAAAGAAACUCGUUGAGGACAAUGGAAGAUGGGCUCAGAAGAAAAUGGAUACAGCUGAAGCUAGAUGGGUCAUGGGUGAA
rnacentral:lncRNA from 1 species